rnacentral:tmRNA from 1 species
GGGGGUGAAAUUGGCUUCGACGGGGUUGAAGAGACAUUGAACUGCACAUCGUGUUCCCCGAGUACACGUUAAACAAUUGGGAAUAAAACAAUAACUGGCGAAUAUAACUACGCCUUAGCUGCUUAAUUAAACAAGCAGCCGUUCUCCUUUCUCUCUCAUGCCGGGGUUUGGAAGAACGUCGUUUAGGUAUGAUAGCUGAUUCUGCUGCCUGUGCUGAUGAUGCGAAACUAAAGCAGGCAAGCUUA